rnacentral:rRNA from 1 species
GACGAACGCUGGCGGCGUGCCUAAUACAUGCAAGUUGAGCGCUGAAGGUUGGUACUUGUACCAACUGGAUGAGCAGCGAACGGGUGAGUAACGCGUGGGGAAUCUGCCUUUGAGCGGGGGACAACAUUUGGAAACGAAUGCUAAUACCGCAUAAAAACUUUAAACACAAGUUUUAAGUUUGAAAGAUGCAAUUGCAUCACUCAAAGAUGAUCCCGCGUUGUAUUAGCUAGUUGGUGAGGUAAAGGCUCACCAAGGCGAUGAUACAUAGCCGACCUGAGAGGGGGAUCGGCGAGCUUGGGAUUGUAACGCAGCCAAAACACCUACGGGAGGCAGCAGUAGGGAAUCGUCGGCAAUGGUCGAAAGUCGGACCGAGCUACGCGGCGUGAGUGAAGUAGGUGGUAGGAUCGAAAAAAUCAGUUGGUGGAAAAGACCGAGAGUGGGAGUGGAAAGCUCAUCAAGGGACGGGAAGUACCCAGACAGAGACGCCCCACUUGAUG